GACGAACGCUGGCGGCGUGCUUAACACAUGCAAGUCGAGCGGUAAGGCCCUUUCGGGGGUACACGAGCGGCGAACGGGUGAGUAACACGUGGGUGACCUGCCCUCAGCUCUGGGAUAAGCCUGGGAAACCGGGUCUAAUACCGGAUAUGACUCCAUGACGCAUGUUGUGGGGUGGAAAGCCUUGUGCGGCUGAGGAUGGGCCCGCGGCCUAUCAGCUUGUUGGUGGGGGAUGGCCUACCAAGGCGACGACGGGUAGCCGGCCUGAGAGGGCGACCGGCCACACUGGGACUGAGACACGGCCCAGACUCCUACGGGAGGGCAGCAGUGGGGAAUCUUGCGCAAUGGGCGAAAGCCUGACGCAGCGACGCCGCGUGAGGGAUGACGGCCUGGUGUAA
rnacentral:rRNA from 1 species